rnacentral:rRNA from 1 species
UUGACCUCAAAUCAGGCAGGAGUACCCGCUGAACUUAAGCAUAUCAAUAAGCGGAGGAAAAGAAACCAACAGGGAUUGCCUUAGUAACUGCGAGUGAAGCGGCAAGAGCUCAAAUUUGAAAUCUGGCACCUUCGGUGUCCGAGUUGUAAUUUGUAGAAGCAUCUUUUGGAUUGGUCCUUGCAUAUGUUCCUUGGAACAGGACAUCAUAGAGGGUGAGAAUCCCGUUCAUGGUGGGGAAUCCAAUUCUUUGUAAAGUGCUUUCGAAGAGUCGAGUUGUUUGGGAAUGCAGCUCUAAGUGGGUGGUAAAUUCCAUCUAAAGCUAAAUAUUGGCGAGAGACCGAUAGCGAACAAGUACAGUGAUGGAAAGAUGAAAAGAACUCCGAAAGGAGAGUGAAAAAGGACGUGAAAUUGUUGAAAGGGAAGUGCUUGAGAUCAGUCUUAAGGUUUAGUGAUCAGUCUUCCUUUUGGUUGGUGCACUCACUAUUUCUUAGGCCAACAUCAGUUUUGGCGGCAGGAUAAUGACAUUGGAAUGUGGCUCUUUCGGGAGUGUUAUAGCCUUUGUUGAUACUGCCUGCUUGGACUGAGGACCGCGCUUUUGCUAGGAUGUUGGCAUAAUGAUCUUAAGCAGC